GAUGAACGCUGGCGGCGUGCCUAAUACAUGCAAGUAGAACGCUGAAGCUUGGUGCUUGCACCGAGCGGAUGAGUUGCGAACGGGUGAGUAACGCGUAGGUAACCUGCCUGGUAGCGGGGGAUAACUAUUGGAAACGAUAGCUAAUACCGCAUAACAGUCGACAUUGCAUGAUGUUGAUUUGAAAGGGGCAAAUGCUCCACUACCAGAUGGACCUGCGUUGUAUUAGCUAGUUGGUGAGGUAACGGCUCACCAAGGCGACGAUACAUAGCCGGCCUGAGAGGGUGAUCGGCCACACUGGGACUGAGACACGGCCCAGACUCCUACGGGAGGCAGCAGUAGGGAAUCUUCGGCAAUGGACGGAAGUCUGACCGAGCAACGCCGCGUGAGUGAAGAAGGUUUUCGGAUCGUAAAGCUCUGUUGUAAGAGAAGAACGAGUGUGAGAGUGGAAAGUUCACACUGUGACGGAACUACCAGA
rnacentral:rRNA from 1 species